GUGAUAUGUUACAGCAAAAAGUAACUUUUAUAUAAAAUAUUAAUGGUAUAAACAAAUUAUAUUUUCAGAAAUAUUUCCUUCAGUUGGCUCCUAAUAUUUAGAAAAAUGAAGUAGGACUCUUCAAAGCUCCUUUUUAAAAUUAACUUGUUUCCUUCAACUUCAGUAUAUUAUUGAACAUUUGAAUACAUCUUUAUGAGAAAAUAGUGUGCACCCAGCUAGCAGCUGCUGAGAAAUUCAAAUUUCAAGGUGAAGCUGUCUCAAACAUUCAAGAAAACACACAGACUCCAACUGUACAAGAGGAGAGUGAAGAGGAAGAGGUUGAUGAAACAGGUGUAGAAGUUAAGGACAUAGAAUUGGUCAUGCCAGAAGCAAAUGUGUCGAGAGCAAAGGCAGUCUGAGCCCUGAAG
rnacentral:lncRNA from 1 species